rnacentral:misc_RNA from 1 species
AAGUCGUAACAAGGAUUCCGUAGGUGAACCUGCGGAAGGAUCAUUAACACGUAUCCAAACGUUAAAACCCCUCCCGUGAACUUUCAUCCUGCUCUUGUAACCCGCGUAGUUUGCAAUGUCUGAUAAAUCAUAGCCCGGAAAGUUGUAGUGAUUCAGAGACCUCUGGCUACGUGCGAAAGGCAAUGUUUCCCCAAGCAGUCAAUGUCGGAAAGUGUGAUUGAUUGUGCAAGGAUAGCGCUUCUACGAUUCCUGUAGACCGUACACUCGGGCAGGAGCUUUGCCAAAGGGUCCCCAUGCCCCCUGAUAACCCCACAGCUUAAUGUGAAGCUCAAUGUAAUACAUUGGGUAAAAAAACCGAACAACUGUUAACAAUGGAUAUCUUGGUUCUC